GGAGACUUCACAUCUCCAAAUAUAACCUUCUUCGCCUGACAAUCUAUAGUGGCCUGGUGCUUAUCCAACCAGUCCAUCCCAAGAAUGAUAUCGAAAUCGUGCAUACACAUCGGAAGGAGAUUAACGCUACGAAUCUUAUCCUCAAAACUGAUCGGACAUCCUCGAUACAAAUCAGAAAUAACUACAGAAGUCCCCAUCGGGGUAGCAAUAGACAUCACAGAAUCUAAAGACUGAGAUGGCACACCCAGGUGCCGAACAAAAGACUGAGCAACAAUGGAAUGAGUAGAACCGGUAUCAAACAAAAUAGACGCCUCACGAUUGCCAACUAAAAGAGUACCAGAAACAGUACCUGGUGUACCUGCCACCUGGUUAUGCGUCAAGGCAAACACUCGAC
rnacentral:lncRNA from 1 species